CCUACGGGUGGCAGCAGUGAGGAAUAUUGGUCAAUGGACGAGAGUCUGAACCAGCCAAGUAGCGUGAAGGAUGACUGCCCUAUGGGUUGUAAACUUCUUUUAUAUGGGAAUAAAACGUUCCACGUGUGGGAUUUUGUAUGUACCAUAUGAAUAAGGAUCGGCUAACUCCGUGCCAGCAGCCGCGGUAAUACGGAGGAUCCGAGCGUUAUCCGGAUUUAUUGGGUUUAAAGGGAGCGUAGGUGGAUUGUUAAGUCAGUUGUGAAAGUUUGCGGCUCAACCGUAAAAUUGCAGUUGAAACUGGCAGUCUUGAGUACAGUAGAGGUGGGCGGAGUUCGUGGUGUAGCGGUGAAAUGCUUAGAUAUCACGAAGAACUCCGAUUGCGAAGGCAGUUCACUGGACUGCAACUGACACUGAGGCUCGAAAGUGUGGGUAUCAAACAGGAUUAGAUACCCCAGUAGUC
rnacentral:rRNA from 1 species